rnacentral:lncRNA from 1 species
AAAAGUCGUAUGUUUAAAUAAGCAGUACUAAUAUCGUUUUGUAAUCAGUAAGAAACAGCCGUCUGGAGUAUAUUUCUAAGUGUCAUACAAAAUGAAGUGGUUGGUGUGCGGUGUUCUGCUGUUGGCUAUGUUGGAGUUACGUCAUUGUCUUCCGCAAGUAAUGUACUAUGUCCAGCCCGAUGGUACACUAGUACCUGUGUAUGAAAUCUUGCCUGGUGUUAUCAAUACCAAUUCUAUUUGGAACAAUGUAGGCAAUAAUCUACGCACAGACGCAAGUCAACACACAAAUUACGGUACCAUUUACGGUAACAAUGAUCAGCAAGCCUCAAGUAGCUUCCUGAAAGAACAAAACUAGGU